rnacentral:lncRNA from 1 species
ACGAAAUAGAAGGCAACAACUGAGUGCAGCCGUGCUGCUCCCGAUACGCUUCCUGCGCAUUUGGUGUUCACAAAGGUGUAGCGGCAGCAGCGCAGACACCAAAGAUGCACGCGGUUCAUUAGGAACAAGGAGCAUUACUGGGAGAGGGAAACUAGAGACCCGGGGUGGGUCUGCGCUGAUCACGGCAGGAGCAAUGCCGCAAGGAUGUUUGGCGCUU